UUUUAGCCAAAAAAUAAAUAAAAGUGACUGAUGAGUCUUCAAGUUCGUUGACAUGCAACCUGAUUGCUUUACCUGACACAUACGUGAUUAAGAUUAAGAUAAAUGGCAAUGGAGGAUUUCCGUGUGCAACAAUCCGAAGUUUACUUUGAACCUUUUUCUCACGCGAUGGUAACCAUUCAGUCAACCAGAUCUUGCUGUAACACAUGGAAAAAGAAAGGACGAUCGACAAAAGAACACUGAUCCAUCCAAAGCCGCACGAUCUGGCUUUGCAUGACAUGUUAAUGGUGAAGGUGGGGUCUUUAACUAUUCACGCAAGUCUAGCUCAAAUUAAUGUGCGGCCGAUUUCACAUUCCAUCUCAACACCAACAACCAAAUAUGGGAAAAAGAAAAAAGGCAUCUAGCUAGGUACUUUGGUUUAGCUUGUUAGGAAGGAUGGAAAUUUUAGGUGGACC
rnacentral:lncRNA from 1 species